rnacentral:rRNA from 1 species
GACAUAGGUGGCGAACGUUAUCCGGUUUUAUUGGGUGUAAAGGGUGCGUAGAUGGUGAAACAAGUUAGCGGUGGGAAAUCAGGGCUCAACCCUGUGGAAGCCGGUAAUACUGUUUUGCUUGAGGACAGGAGAGGUUGGUGGAACAGCUAGUGUAGAGGUGAAAUUCGUAGAUAUUAGCUAGAACACCAGUGGCGAAGGCGGCCAACUGGUCCGGAACUGACGCUGAGGUGCGAAAGCGUGGGGAGCAAACAGG